rnacentral:rRNA from 1 species
UUGAGGAGGCGGUGACCAUGGCGGUGUAGGUGGAAGCUAACACUGUUAAUAUAUAUAUAUAUAUAUAUAUAUAUUUUUAUUUUUUUUUUAUUUUUUUUUUUAAUUGGGGUAGCCCCCAAAAUAUUGGGACACAUAAAAAAAGACAACUCUGUUCCGCAGAGUAGCUGUUGACAUUAUAGUUGUGCAGGCACUUUGUUCACUCUAGAGAACCUCGGGCCAAUCGCACAUCCCAGUGAUGACGACUUUGCAUUCGGAUGUCAUCCAUAUCAACUUUCGAUGCCAGUUUCUGCGCCUACCAUGGUGACCAUGGGUAACAGUGAAUCAGGGUUCCAUUCCGUACAGGGACCCUGAGAAACGGCUACCACAUGCAAGGAAGGCAGCAGGCACGCAAAUGACCUACUCCCGACGCGGGAAGGUAGUGACGACAAAUAACAAUACAGGACUCUUUAAAGGCCCUGUAAUUGUAAUGAGUCCACUUGCAAUCCUUUAACUCUGAUCAAUUGGAGGGAAGUCUGGUGCAGAGCCUCUAUCGCCUGCUGCUG